rnacentral:rRNA from 1 species
UGCCAGCAGCCGCGGUAAUACGGAGGGUGCGAGCGUUGUUCGGAAUCACUGGGCGUAAAGCGCGUGUAGGCGGCUGGUCAAGUCUGGUGUGAAAGCCCGGGGCUCACCCCCGGAAGUGCGCCGGAAACUGGUCAGCUAGAGUAUGGGAGAGGGAAGCGGAAUUCCUGGUGUAGCGGUGAAAUGCGUAGAUAUCAGGAGGAACACCGGCGGCGAAGGCGGCUUCCUGGACCAAUACUGGCGCUGAGACGCGAAAGCGUGGGGAGCAAACAGGAUUAGAUA